GAAUCAGUAAUGGCGUCAACGACAGUGUUAAGUAACGUUUAGUGAACGUGGUGUGUACAUUUUUCAUGGCAAUAUGCUUACCGCGAUGGGUUAACGAUCGGUUGGAAUGAAUGCGGCUUAAUUGGUGGGCGAGGCCUCGCUAAUUAUAUAGCUGAUUGUCGAUGCGCCCAUCGGCAGACCGCCAUCUGCAUUACCAGUGAUUACAGUGAAAUGUCCAUUCGAAACGAUCAAGCCGUUCUCCCCACCGUGUAUUUCGUCUCUACCCUUGAUCGUGCGAGCAAUCCGGAUUGAUUAUACAUUCUGUUUCAACGGAUUCGGCCAGUAGUGCAUUUUUCACGAGCAGUUAACCGAAGUAAUUAGUCACCGGGCCGGCAAGCAACCGGAAUAAACGGCCUAACCUAAAAAGCGUUUUGCGCUGACGGGACGGAUCGAUGCGUGCCACUGUGAUAACCACCAGGCUUUUCCGGCUCUCCAGACAUCAAUUACUCGAGUUUAACGAGAAAACGAAAAAUCGUCCCGCCUCGUUAGCGCAAUUGCAUCAAGUGGCCGGGGCUGGGGAGCGUCAGAAAUCAACGUCUCCACGGCCGAAUUCGUCCUUUGUGCAAUUCUCCGAUUGUCGAGUAAGACGUUCUAGCCCAAUCGGUGGAUUGCAAUCAGUAUGUUGGACGGGUUGCGGUUCCAGCGGUUCCACCUUGGACCCACGUAGUACUCGGUUGGAAGUGGAGGUAGCAGCGCGCGCGCCACGUUUAAAAGAACGUAAAAGGACAAGGCUGGCAGUUGAGUGACUCUUUGAAGUUUCUGAAAGCUGUGCGGUUACGCUCGACGUACACGGACUUUCAUGGGGCGUGAGGUGAAAAGUGCAUAAAAAGCAAAGUGGAAAAGCAUCUCCUUGAGGAUAGACAAUUUGCCGUCCUGUUACGAUUUUAUCGUGCAUCGAAGCCAGCAACCAUUUUGUACAGCGUGUUGGUGCAGCGGCCGAAAAGUGGCAAGUGCCGAAAUUACAAGCGAUGAGGAGGGCCAGUUUGCAAGAAGGGUGGCUCGAGAGGAGCGAAAGUUAGCGACACGUCCAAACUUAUCUCUCCCUCUGUUUAAUUUAACGUAGCUUCGAGUUAGCCGUUAACGCGGAUCCGAUGAAACUCGGCCGACAAGCGCAGUUUCCUGAACCAUUCCAUCUCUCCUUUCCAUUUCCUCUUCUUCUUCUUCUUCUUCUUCUUACAUCCUUGUCGUCGCCAACGAUACGAGCUUCGCGAGUUGGUUCGCGUUACAGUAAUGCGAUACAUCGCUGCAAUAUCCUAUCCUGGAAUACAACGUAAGGCAAGUCGUUUCGCGCCAUUUACCCUCUAAUUUGUAGCUGGUACGGCUCCGAGCGUGUCGACUAAAAAGGGGAGCACGAAAUUUAAAUGGAAAGGUGUUCUUUUUUUUAUUUAAGAAAGCAGAUUUUUAAAGUAUUCGACAAUAUUGAAGAAUUAAUUGUGCAUAAUAAAUAUUGCGGGAAUGAGUUAGUUAAUAAUAAUACGUAAAGAGAAACGUUAGAUUUAAAUUCUGUUUGUCGUUAAUUAAUAUGCAUUGAGAUAGAUCGAGGGUUUCUUUUUUUGUAAUUUGGUAAAAUAAUAUAUAAGAUUUUUAGAUUUUCACGCUCUAUUACGCUUUUAUAAAAUAUUAUCAACGGAGAUUAUAUUCAAAAUAUGAAAAAAUGAAUGUUUGAGAGUGGAAAAAAUUAAUCAUCGAAAAAAAUUCUUUCACGUGUUAUACAUACACGUAAACUUUUAUUAAAACCUGAAUUUUCAUAUAAGGUGAUGUACAAAUACUCUUGUGACCUAUAUAUAUAUAUAUUUGAAUCUAAUUAAAAUUUCAAAAUUUUCAGAAAGUUCUAUCGUACGAAGAAUUUAAGAAGAAAAAGAAACAGGUUAACAAAUUACAUGAUCUCUUGUUGGCAGUCCAAGGAAAACGCAAAAAAAUCACGUAAAAAUUAAAAAUUUUGAUUAUAAUUUCUCAGAAGAUGUGUUCCAUAUGUGAUACGACGAGGCGAAUUUCCAUAUUCGCGUGCAAGCACGAACUUGCGUUUUGCGUCUGCAUAAAUUUAUUUAAGGGGAAAACGGCGUAGAAUAUUUGAUACAGGGUGUAUAAUGCUGCCAUAAUUACUACUUUCCGAUCUCGGUUGAUCGAGCCAGGUGUAUCUUUCUCUUGUACACUCUCUCUCUUGUAAUUUAACUGAUAAUAUUGGCAAAUAUAACAAAUUAUAGAUUUUUAAAUAGGUCAAGUUUACUCGUAAAAUUUCAUUAACAAUAUUAUUUCAAUUUCAUUAAAAUUUUAUACAAAUUUCAAACGUGUUAAAAUAUUUUUAUACAAUAAUAAAAACUCAGUACAAAAUUA